GCACAAGUAGAGGGAGAGGAUGAAGGAGAAGCAGGCUCCCCACUGAGCAGGGAACCAGAUGCAGGGCUGGAUCCCAGGACCCUGGACAGAUGCUGUACUGAGGGAGCCACCCAGGCACCCUGUGAGAGAUUUUAGACCUAGGAUGCAGAUAAGAUCUGAAGGAGUCAAGCUGUUUCUUCUGUGGCUUCAAGCACUUCAGACAAACUGCAGAAGAGCAGGUGCUGAUUUUUGCUUGCCUCGUGCCUGGUUUCCCAGCGAUCAUGUCAUCCAGAGGGACCUGUACAGUGGAGACACUCAUCAUUCCUAGCCCUGUUGUGGCGGAUGGUGAGGAACAUUUUAGCCAGCCUUACAGGUUGAAAUGACUCUGGAAGUUCUCUUGGAUUCCUCAGCUUGUCAUGAUCCUGAAGAGAAAUCUUUAUUUCAUAGAUGGGUUCGGAGGAGGAAUUAUCCCCUGCUCAUGUUCACAGCAAUGUCUAACAGACAUUAGAAUAGAAAGAAUCAGAGCCUUUUUUUAUAUGAAAUGAGGACAGGAGACAUUUACUGAAGUUGUGAAAACAGGAAUGGAAGGUAGGACUCAGAUGUUGGGAACAGCAGGAAGUAGAGACACAUCAUGUACGUGGAGUGUUUUCUUGGCUGUGAAUGAGAUUUAAAUCUGCCAUCCAAAACUACUGUUUAUUGUCCUCAUCAUGAUUGUUUCAUGAGUGGACAUUCAUCUGCUCACCCAGCUGUGUAUUUUCAUGCUGCAUUCAUGGAAAGACAGUAGCUGCUUCCUGGGAAAGUCAUGACAGCCAUCUGUGUCCUGUGAGUUUUUAAGGAACUUGCCAGUUAGGGCCAUUGAUUGAUUAAUGCACAUCACUUUAUUGCCCAAUGACAGGUACUUGAUCCUUAGGCUGACCAAAGCAGAAUUUGGCAGAGAGAAGAAUGGUUUAGAGGGAGAGGUGGCUUCAUGGGACUUUGUACCAUAUUUCCAACCCCUUGAUGCUCACUGGCCUGGUGUGUAGUGUGAGCAGGUUCCAAAGGAGGGGCAGAUGUAUUUUAAUGAAGGCCAUUUUUUAAAAACCCUUUGAACGUUGGUGAAAGAACUCCUUUUUUUUUCCCCACUCUGGAGCAAAGAUAUAUCCACAAGAAAUCACCCCACUCUUGCCGGCCAUAUCAGGGGGAAGGAUCGCUGAGGACCAAACAUGCUUUUUUCUUCAAGUACUAUUGAUCUGUAUGGUUAUUCAGGUAAAAGCAAAAUCAUGCAUAAUUCAGGAAUGGUCUUCCUUUUGAUGGGAAAGAGGAAACAUCGCUUAUUUUCUCCCAGCUCAUCCAUAUUUUGCAUGUUUGUUUGUUUUUUUGAGUUGACUCUUUAUGAUAUUUCACUAGAACUUGAAUAUGUGCCAUAUCACAUCAGCAAAGACCUGGCAUACAUAAUAUUUUGUGUGAGAGAGUGUAUGUCAAGGAAACAUUUCAGUUCUCCCAACUGCUUUCAUAUUACCAUAUUCACACAGAACACUUCACUUCUAACACUGUGGCUGAGGCUGUGGGUUUUUCUCUCACCAGGCAACUCUGCAACACCACCUGGGUGUCCUGUAGUUUCACUCAGCUUUGACACUGUCUGCCUUGAGAUGGCAUCUGAUCCCACAGGUUAAGGGCUCAGUCCCGUGAGACUAUUCCAUCACAUUCAGGUGCCAAUCACAAGUAAGAGGGGCCCAGGUUACCUACAACUUCUCUACAACUUGGCUGCAAAUCAGAGGUUCCUUCAACUCCUCCUCUGGUUCAACCGAGUGGCUCACAGAUCUCUGGGAAACAUUUGUUUUCAUUUACAAUUUAUGAAAGGUAUGAUAAAGGAUACAGAUGAACAGUCAGAUGCAGAGACACAAAGGGCACAUUCUGGGAGGGUCCCAAGCACAGGAAUGUCUAUUCCUGUGGAGCAGGGUUUCAUCUCCCUCCUGGUACCUGGAUAUGUUUACUCACCUGGAAGUUCCCUGAAACCCCUGCUAUGAGGAUUUUUAUGGAGGCUUCCUUACAUAGAUGUGCUCUGCUUUCAGCCCCCUCCCCUCUCUGGGGGAAUGUAGGGGUUGGGGUGGGGUGCUGAAGAUUCUAAGUUCUAAUCAUGGUGUGGUCUUCCUGGUGAUGUGUCCUCACUGAGGAGCCAUCUGGGAUCCCACCCAGAGUUGUGUUAUUAGAACUAAAUAUUAAACUCAAAAUGGAUGAAAGACCUCAAUGUGAGAUAGGAAUUCUUGCCAGUUUUCUUAAGGGGAUUCUUUCCCUCUGCUACCCCUCAAGAUUCUGUCAUUGCCUCCCUUUCUGACUGCACUGUCCUACUGGGCAAUCUUGCCUAUUGGGCAGGUGGAAUGGACCAGUAGGGUCAAAAUGCACAGCUUCUAGAAGACAAUGGAAUACUCCCGUCUGCUCUCAGGACUUUGGAGUCCUUGUGUUUUUGGUGCUGGCCAAAGGAAAUGGGAGAGGAGAGCAGACAAGAAAGAAUGCUAAGUCAUUAUAGAGAACUGGUGGGAAAAUACAGGCAUGAUGAGUAGAAUGAGUUUAAAAACAUGAUAUCAUUGGGUGAUUUUUUUUUUAAUACUCAGUAAGAAUGUUUUUAACAAAGCUAACCAUUUAGUUUUAAAGUAUUCAUUUUUAUCAUCAUUUGAGUUUUAAGAUAGGAUUACAUUACAUGAUUGUCAACAUUAUUUGUCACCAUGACUUUUUUUUUUAAUUUAGGAUAGGAAUUUUAAUAAGAUAGCAUUUUAGUUCAGUAGACAUUUAAGUUAAAAUUUAAAUGUACAUAUGUUCUUUCCACAUUUAAUCCAAAGGCUACAAGCUUAGAGUGGAAGAAUAAGGAGAAUCAAGAUACUUGUUUUAAAGUUCUUUUUAUGUUGUUUUGAAAAUAUUGUCUUCCUCAUUUAUUCCCAUCAUUUACCAUGUUAACAAAAUCUACAAACCUGUACUUGGUAAGUACUGAUUGGGCUGGGUAUAGAGGAUGUCCACAGGGAAGCUGUCCAUUCUCUUUCAAAGUGACCUUUGUUUAUUUUUAAUUAAGCAAAAUAGUCACUCUAAUCUUAUAUUUAAUGGUAACUUUAUUGUAAGAGGUUUAAAGUUUCCUAAUAAAUGAUUUUACCUAUUUGUACAAACUAUUU